UCUACCCAACCCUCGUAACUGCAUAUCUCGAAUCUUACCGGAACUUCUCGAAUUUUUAUUUGAGUUUGUUCCGGUCAAAACCCUAAACUCUCCAAAUGGUACCAAAUUGGCACAGUAUGGUCUUCUAACUGUGCUCAUGACGAAUUCCUUAUUCAUGGCGUUCAAACAUCGUUGGAAUUGGACGAAUUUGGAAAAUACCGAUUGGCC
rnacentral:lncRNA from 1 species